rnacentral:rRNA from 1 species
GAUGAACGCUGGCGGCGUGCCUAAUACAUGCCAGUCGAGCGAACAGACGAGGAGCUUGCUCCUCUGACGUUAGCGGCGGACGGGUGAGUAACACGUGGAUCACCUCCCUAUAAGACUGAGAUAACUUCGGGAAACCGGCGCUAAUACCGGAUAAUAUAUUGAACCGCAUGGUUCAAUAGUGAAAGACGGUUUUGCUGUCUCUUAUCGAUGGAUCCGCGCCGCAUUAGCUAGUUGGUAAGGUAACGGCUUACCAAGGCAACGAUGCGUAGCCGACCUGAGAGGGUGAUCGGCCACACGGGAAGUGAGACACGGUCCAGACUCCUACGGGAGGCAGCAGUAGGGAAUCUUCCGCAAUGGGCGAAAGCCUGACGGAGCAACGCCGCGUGAGUGAUGAAGGUCUUCGGAUCGUAAAACUCUGUUAUUAGGGAAGAACAAAUGUGGAAGUAACUAUGCACGUAUUGACGGUACCUAAUCAGAAAGCAACGGCUAACUACGUG